AGCCUUUGCUGCUCAGAGCAGUGCAGGAAAGCCAUUCUAGAAGAGAUUUAGAUUUAUUUCUCAGUUGACCUGGCUCCACCAUGAGUAUUUAAAGAAAGCCACCUGAUAUGUAAUUGGAGUCAGGAGUAUCAGCCACUGCCUGGGUUGAUGAUUUUGUUAGCAGCUGGUGGACAGACAUGGAAUUCCUGCAGGAAAUGACUCCCAGCAGCUCUGAGUAGACAGUUCUCCAGACCUUCCCAAGGACACAGCCAGUGAGCUGAUAGCAGAGCUGGGUCCAGAGCCCAGCCGGGAACUCCUCCUGAUACCAGGACACUGUGCCUACUCCCAGGGAGAGCUGCACAAGAGAAACUCUCCAGUCUGUUGCCUUUUCCAGAAAUGCCCAGGACAAUUCGAUACUCACUUGGGACCAAGGUGAAUCUUGACCCCUACCUCACACCAUACUUAGAAAAUUAAUCCCAGGCAAGCACUGAUCUAUGAAAGGUGAGACAGCAAAACUCCUGGAAGAAAAAAAAGAGAACAGCUUCAUGAUCUCAUAAAAGAUAAAAUGUUAAUCAUAAAAGGAUAAUCAUAGGGCCGGGGAUCUAGCUCAGUGUUUCCACCACCUGCCUUGCAAGCGCAAGGACUGGAGUUCGAUCCCCGGUACCAAAAAAAAACAACAACAAACAAACGAAAAAAAAGAUAAUCCUAAAAGAAAAAAUGUGUAAAUUGAAUUCAACUAAAAUUAAGAAUUUUUAUUCAUGAAGAAAGUGAAAAGGAAAGUCAGAGGGCAGAAAAGGAGUUCCCAUCUAUUAGCAAAUGUUGAGAUCAAAUAAAACAUAUGUUCCUAUGCCAUAGCAAACAUAAAUCAAAUUUGUAUGCAAAAUAUGUAUAAAAAUCAAAACAAAACAAACAUUUGGAAAAUGUUUUUCAAACUUUC
ensembl:lncRNA